rnacentral:snRNA from 1 species
AUGCUCACUUUUGCAGUACAUAUACUAACAUUGGAAUGAUACAGAGAUUAGCAUGGCCCCUGUGCAAGGAUGACAUACACAUUCAUGAAGCAUUCCAUAUUUAA